rnacentral:rRNA from 1 species
GACGAACGCUGGCUGCGUGCUUAACACAUGCAAGUCGAACGCUGAAGCCCUGGUGCUUGCACCGGGGUGGAUGAGUGGCGAACGGGUGAGUAACACGUGAGUAACCUGCCCCCGACUUCGGGAUAAGCCCGGGAAACUGGGUCUAAUACCGGAUAUGACGACCGAAGGCAUCUUUGGUUGUGGAAAGUCUUUUCGGUUGGGGAUGGGCUCGCGGCCUAUCAGUUUGUUGGUGAGAUAAUGGCUCACCAAGACGACGACGGGUAGCCGGCCUGAGAGGGCGACCGGCCACACUGGGACUGAGACACGGCCCAGACUCCUGCGGGAGGCAGCAGUGGGGAAUAUUGCACAAUGGGGGUAACCCUGAUGCAGCGACGCAGCGUGCGGGAUGACGGCUUCGGGU